rnacentral:rRNA from 1 species
UACGGAGGAUGCGAGCGUUAUCCGGAUUUAUUGGGUUUAAAGGGUGCGUAGGCGGGAUGCCAAGUCAGCGGUAAAAAUGCGGUGCUCAACGCCGUCGAGCCGUUGAAACUGGCGUUCUUGAGUGGGCGGGAAGUAUGCGGAAUGCGUGGUGUAGCGGUGAAAUGCAUAGAUAUCACGCAGAACUCCGAUUGCGAAGGCAGCAUACCGGCGCCCUACUGACGCUGAGGCACGAAAGCGUGGGUAUCGAACAGG